AAAACGACUCUCGGCAACGGAUAUCUAGGCUCUCGCAUCGAUGAAGAACGUAGCGAAAUGCGAUACUUGGUGUGAAUUGCAGAAUCCCGCGAAUCAUCGAGUUUUUGAACGCAAGUUGCGCCCGAAGCCAUUCGGCCGAGGGCACGUCUGCCUGGGUGUCAUGC
rnacentral:rRNA from 2 species